GGGGAGGUACUGCUUAAACUGGUCCAAUAAGAAACAGGGAGGUACUGCUGGAUCUGGUCCAAUAAGAAACAGGGAGGUACUGCUUGAUCUGGUCCAAUAAGAAACAGGGAGGUACUGCUUGAUCUGGUCCAAUAAGAAACAGGGAGGUACUGCUGGAUCUGGUCCAAUAAGAAACAGGGAGGUACUGCUUGAUCUGGUCCAAUAAGAAACAGGGAGGUACUGCUUGAUCUGAUCCAAUAAGAAACAGGGAGGUACUGCUUAAACUGGUCCAAUAAGAAACAGGGAGGUACUGCUUAAUCUGGUCCAAUAAGAAACAGGGAGGUACUGCUUAAUCUGGUCCAAUAAGAAACAGGGAGGUACUGCUUAAUCAGGUCUAAUAAGAAACUGGGAGGUACUGCUUGAUCUGGUCCAAUAACAGGGAGGUACUGCUUGAUCUGGUCCAAUAACAGGGAGGUACUGCUUGAUCUGGUCCAAUAACAGGGAGGUACUGCUUAAUCUGGUCUAAUAAAAACAGGGAGGUACUGCUUGAUCUGGUCCAAUAAGAAACAGGGAGGUACUGCUUGAUCUGGUCCAAUAAGAAACAGGGAGGUACUGCUUGAUCUGGUCCAAUAAGAAACAGGGAGGUACUGCUUGAUCUGGUCCAAUAAGAAACAGGAGGGUACUGCUUAAUCUGGUCCAAUAAGAAACAGGGAGGUACUGCUUAAUCUGGUCCAAUAAGAAACAGGGAGGUACUGCUUGAUCUGGUCCAAUAAGAAACAGGGAGGUACUGCUUGAUCUGGUCCAAUAAGAAACAGGGAGGUACUGCUUGAUCUGAUCCAAUAAGAAACAGGAAGGUACUGCUUAAUCUGAUCCAAUAAGAAACAGGGAGGUACUGCUUGAUCUGGUCCAAUAAGAAACACUAUUUAGUUUAACAUUUGAAAAUGUAACGCUACGGUUGCGUUCCGAGGGGGGUAUGUUGACACAUCGCUUCACAAGUAUCGCCGUCCCCAAGGGAACAAACAUCCAAUAAAAGGAGAGACUGGGAGGCUAAAAUGUGAAGGUGAUUGGAUCUAUACUUUGUAUUCCAUGUCCUUCAGGGUAACACGGAAACAACAGAACACUGGGAUGUGGAUUUCUACACAAUCUAUUUCUAUCUGAAACAUUCCACACGGUAGGCUAGCACAGUGGUAUGUGCUCCGUGUAAACAAACAGUGCCCACCCACUGUACUAAAACAAAUCCCAAUAGAGCCACUGAAUACCACCCCAGGAGUCCUCAACAGCAGACCCACCCGAGUAACAGUCUGUUUCUGGCAUAUCAGUGCUCUGUCAAAUUGUUUGGCUUUUCAAAUGAGCAAUAGACUUGACGAGAGGACGAACAGAGGAAGGGGCCAGGCUAGCCCUGUGCUACGCCCCC